rnacentral:rRNA from 1 species
CCUACGGGUGGCAGCAGUGGGGAAUAUUGCACAAUGGGGGAAACCCUGAUGCAGCCACGCCGCGUGGGUGAAGAAGGCCUGCGGGUUGUAAAGCCCUUUCGGUAGGGACGAAAGCUUCCGACCUAACACGUCGGGAGGUUGACUUAACCUACAAAAGAAGCACCGGCUAACUCUGUGCCAGCAGCCGCGGGAAUACAGAGGGUGCGAGCGUUAAUCGGAAUUACUGGGCGUAAAGCGCACGUAGGCGGCUUUGCAAGUCGGGUGUGAAAUCCCCGGGCUCAACCUGGGAACUGCAUCCGAGACUGCUUUGCUCGAGUAUGGGAGAGGGAAGUGGAAUUUCCGGUGUAGCGGUGAAAUGCGUAGAUGUCGGAAGGAACAUCAGUGGCGAAGGCGACUUCCUGGACCAAUACUGACGCUCAGGUGCGAAAGCGUGGGUAGCAAACAGGAUUAGAUACCCCAGUAGUC